rnacentral:rRNA from 1 species
ACACGGAGGGCGCAAGCGUUGCUCGGAAUCACUUGGCGUAAAGCGGGUGUAGGCGGUCUAGCAAGUCAGAUGUGAAAGCCCACGGCUCAACCGUGGAAGUGCAUCUGAAACUGCUAGACUUGAGUGCCGGAGAGGGAAGUGGAAUUCCUGGUGUAGGGGUGAAAUCCGUAGAUAUCAGGAGGAACACCGGUGGCGAAGGCGACUUCCUGGACGGCCACUGACGCUGAGACCCGAAAGCGUGGGGAGCAAACAGGAUUAGAUACCCCAGUAGUCC